UCAGUUGUGUUGCAUCUCGCGCGAGUACGUUGUCGUCGAGUGGUGGUUCUUUAUUCUAUGGAGUGGUUCUGAAAGCGCUGCGUUAGGGGCGACUGCAACCAGGCGUUGCGGCAAGUUACGGUGGGAACUUCUGUCCGUGCUGUGUGAUUGCGACGAGGACGACUGCCGCCAGCAGCGGCGUGUCGCCGAUUUCGUCUUUGCCGACAUCGAGCAAGUGCAGCGCCGGAAGUGUUGCGUUUUGCACUGCAUUUUCCUUGUGAUAUGGGAGAUCGCAACGCAGAGACGACCAGAUGCAUACGAAAGACUACCAGCGGAGAGUGACCUGUGCCAUAUUUCUCUUAACCUCUCAGGUAUUCAAGAAAUGGCAACAUCCAGAAGAAGACGCCAUCUUAUCCAGCACGUUAUGGGUACACUCUGGUGGCUCCCGCCCCUGCAUCCUACGACCACCGUGUCCUCACUAUGUUCACUAGGGAGUUCGAAGCCUUUGGAGGCUCCUGCCACUGCGUCCUGCCAGCACCGUGUCCUGACUACGUCCACUAGGGAGUUGGCAGCCUUCGUGAUGAUGCCAAGCAGGCUGGAAGCUGACAGAACGAUCGAGGUUGCCUCGAAAUUUUACCCAAGCCGUGCCACACACUUGGGCCAGGCCUCUUGCAAACGACGUAUAACCAGGCUCAACGCAGGAUGUCGAGUGAGUCCGGAGAUCGAGGCAACCUGCUGUGCAACCAGCGUGCAACCUUUGGUGACCCUCAACAUGUUCCACCUAUUUCACAGCUGCACUCAGCUUCCACCUAUCACCAGCUGUGGUCACUCAUCGAACCAUGGAUGAAUGUUGGGGUGGAGUGAUUUGAAGAGACAUUUUUUUUGUCUCUUCAAAUCCUUAGCAAAUACUUGUGUUAUUAUAAUUAAUAUGUGUCUUUAGUGCCUAGUUUUUAAUGGUUCCUUUCUAUUAGAAUUCUCGCCAUCGAUUCCUGCUAUUAUAAUGUAUGUCUGUCUUUAUGCACAGUUUUUCAUAGUUCUUUUGUACUUGUCUAUGUAAUUGAUAGGUUCAUACUUCUUGUUAUACAGAAGGCUAAAAUGCAAACUUACGGCAUUUUUUUCUUCCUUUUGAUAAUCUACAGCACUGCAAAGUGUUCAAGAAAUGUAACCCAACGUGGGCUCUGGUGCAGGAAAAAUUUAAGAGCAAUAUAGAGUACUUAUUUCAAACACCCAUUAUUUUUGGAAAAGUAAAGAAUAUAGGAGCACAAAAAAGAAAAUAUUAAACUAGAGAAACAUGAGUUCCCCUCAUAAGUCUGAUAAUAAUGUGACUUCCCUUCACUGUACAGACACCAGUAAUAUACUCGCAUACAAGGUUUGAAACAAGAAAGCUAUGAUGCCCUUGGCAUUUCUCAGUGCCUAUUUGUCACACUUACGAAUGUCAAAGGCAUCGUAGGUUUCAUGUACACAUUGGUUGUGUUACACUUUUGAGUAUUGAAUUUCUCAAACACAAAGGUUUACAGCAGUGCUUUAAAUAGCAAAUGCAUUUCCUAAUUUAUUAGUGCAAGAGGAACAGUACAGAUCAUGUAAAAAUUUUUUUACAGACUAUAUGUCCAUGGAUGCACGCUUCUGAUGACAUAGCAGUGACGUGGUCGUGGGAUGAAUGACUUUAUUUCAGAUUUAAAUAUUGGCUUCCAGGUCUGGGUUAGUCUCCUACACUGAAUAGUCUAGGUCAGAGCCCAUUUACUAGAGAAAGUGAAUUAAACUAGGAAUUAUAAACAUCAAAAGAUCUUGUUUAGGAAAUUAAUGUGACAAUCAGCAAGGUUCUUUGGGUAUUCAUUUCCAAAUUUGUAGGAUAUAUUUUAUGACUGGUUUCAUUAUUGUGAGAACAAAUAUUUGUUUAUUGUCACACUAGAGUUGGCUGCCCCCAUUUGUAUACAACCCCUUUACAUGCUAAAAAUUCAGUGUGUUACUCUAUUUACUCGCAUAUUGAUCGCACUUUAUUGUAAAUAAAAUUGACUCAAAUUCAGAGGUGCGAUCAUUACGCUACGUAAAUUUCCCACAAAAAGAAAAAAAUAUAUCCUCUGGCAUUUGCUACGGGAUGACAACAGGUCAACAAAGAGGUGGCUGCCUCUGUAUGUACUGCGGGACACACACACACAAAAAAAAACAUGGUGGCCGGCAGAGCAAGCCGAACGCGCGGAACACGAUUUUUUUGUCUUUUCGUGAAUACAUUACGUGCAUUCAAACAGUUUCUUCUGUAUCAGUAAUGAAUAAUAUCGGCAAGUUUGCAGCAAUAACAUAGCCAUGUCCGCUUUGAGGGGACAGAAACAGAUGGGCGCGCUUAGCUGCCUGGGACAUAGGAACACAUAACGGGCAUGCUGCGGAAACUGCGGCAUUUGUCUUCACCACUAUCCUAAUAUGGCACGUUUCCGCUAAGGGUGGGCGAAUAUCUUAGCUGUGUUACAAACGUCGGCGAAUGAAUAGGGUACACUUCUAACGUAUCGCUGUAAACGUGGCUGCUAUCAUUGCCACUCGCGAUUUGUUGCGUGCCACAACUGCAGACGAGAAGAAAUGAAAGACGCCUUUUUUGUUGUUUUUGUUGACUACAACCAUUACAAAGCCUACACAUAAUAAAGGCAAGUUUGGUUGUAGCUUUUUUUUUGUCAUAUAAGUGCAGAAAGUGAUGGAAGGAAUGGAAUGGGGCAUCUGCUUAAGAAUGUUUGGUGCGUGCAGACUGCUUGGUUUGUCUUGAAGAGUUGUUCUCAUAGCAGUUGACAGAUGGUAAGCGCGAUCAUUAUUAGCUAGACUUGGCACAUGACAUAUCGCUGCGGCAUGUUUGGGGUGCAAUCUUACACGAGAAAUAAAAAAAUCGAAUUUUGACAUCAGAAUUUAGGGGUGCGAUCAUUAUGCGAGUAAAUACGGUAUUAGGUUGUUUUUGGUUUUACGCACUCAGUGUUAAGGGAUGCAAAUGGUGACAUACAACAGAAUGCAAAAAUGACUAAUGAAUGCAAGCAGAGCGUGGGGCUUUUUAGGCAGAUGCAUGCGUGUGCUAUAUAUAAAGCCUGAAGGCAUUUUCUAAUACUUUGGUAGAAAACACUGACACCCACUUAUUAAGGGGAAAUACUCCUCAAAACAACUUUUUUAUAUAUUUGUACUAGAGAUUUGAAUAUACUGUCAUUCAUAAAGUGUUUUAUUAGAUUUGAAUUGUCAUUGAUUUUUGUGUAGCUGCUGUUCUUUAGUUAUGGUUCUACACAGUGGCAAAAUAUUCUUGUGGACACUUUCCUGUGUAUAAAAUUUUCAGAAAUAGCUUCAUGCUGUAUCUUAUUUAGCUAGUUAUAUACUGCAAAGUGAUGACACCUAUCGAAACGGCUUGUACAAUUACUGGAACUAUGCAAGAAAUAUUAGGCCACAUUAAAUAAUUUUACAGAUUGCACUUUCAAUGAGAUAUCAGCAUUCUGCAUAUCUUGAAUAGUAUGUAUGCCAAAUUUCGUUAGUAUAGGACAAUUAUAAGUGCAUAAGGUUA